ACUGUUAUCCCUCUCAUACUGCU
rnacentral:siRNA from 1 species